rnacentral:SRP_RNA from 1 species
GGCCAGGCCCAGCGCAACCCGAGCUUGUGAACCCCGUCAGGACCGGAAGGUAGCAGCGGUAAGCAACUCCUCGGGUGUGCCGUUGGCCCCCUGGCCCUU